GAUGAAGAACGUAGUGAAAUGCGAUAAGUAAUGUGAAUUGCAGAAUUCAGUGAAUCAUCGAAUCUUUGAACGCACAUUGCGCCCGCUAGUAUUCUGGCGGGCAUGCCUGUUCGAGCGUCAUUUCAACCAUCAAGCCCCCGGCUUGUGUUGGGGACCUGCGGCUGCCGCAGGCCCUGAAAAGCAGUGGCGGGCUCGCUGUCACACCGAGCGUAGUAGCAUACAUCUCGCUCUGGGCGUGCUGCGGGUUCCGGCCGUUAAACCACCUUCAUAACCCAAGGUUGACCUCGGAUCAGGUAGGAAGACCCGCUGAACUUAAGCAUAUCAAUAAGCGGAGGA
rnacentral:misc_RNA from 1 species